rnacentral:lncRNA from 1 species
GCAUCAGGCUCUGCUCUGGGACUUAGCAGGAAAGACUCCAUGCUGGUAUUUGUCACUUCACUCUUCCGGAAGUUGGAAGCCAAGUUGUUGGAAGGACUUGGGUCUCCUGGGAGCAGUGCCUGCGCCCCUUCUGUGGAGACCUCCUGAAGCUUCGGGAUCCCUGGGUUGGUGACACCUGCCUGCCCUCACUUUGUUUGCCUCACUAGACUCUGAAAUUUUCCUCAGCAGCAGCUGAUGGAGACAAGUUUGACCCGAAGUCAUCCUCAUCCUAGCCGGGAGGAAGGUAUGUACAGCGCAGAGACCUGAGCCGGGAGACCGGGAGGGAGGCAUGUACAGCCCGGAGACCUGAGCCGGGAGAGAGCCUAGCUAAAGACCGCAAGAAACUUGGCUGCUAGUUCUGCAAAUUUGUUUGAUUUAUCUGAAGGCUGUUUGGUAUCUAUCUAGCUUCAAGAAACACGACAAAUACAAAGAGGAAGAGGCUGGCCAGAGCUGAGCAGCUGGCAUUCCUCCCGACUCUGACACCUGUCUGCUCAGUUUGGAGUGAGACUGUAAGCAUGUGUGUCCUUUCCAUAAACCCUGUUUUUCCAAAGUGACAAGCCCUGACUAGCACAGUCAUCUGUUUGUAUGCCCCACUCCGUGCUCCAGCCUAGCCAGUAUACUGUCCCAGCAUCCCAGCAGUGAGCUAGCUCUACAGGAAGAUUUCCUUGUUCCCAGGUACAGGUCCCUCUGUGUGGGAUGUGGCCUCAGGGGCUCCUUCAUCUGGCCUGAGGUCAUCCUGUGACCAGCCCUACCCCCCCCUCCCCGAGGGAGCCCAACAUUUGAGUUCCACUGUAAAAACAAAACAAAACAAAACAAACAAACAAACAAAAAACCAAAAAACCAAAACCAAAAAAACCCUUAAGUUUUCUCUGUUUUUAAAAGAUUUACUAUUUUUAUUAUGAAUUAUGUAUAUCUGUGUGACUGAGUGAGAGUGUGUGUUCCGUGUCUACCCUCACAGGUAAGAAGAGGGCAUAGAAUCUAGAGUUACAGGUUGCUUCUUGGAACUAACUUGGGUCUUCAUCAAGCAGCAAGGACAGUAUUUUUUAUACUUUGGAAAAGUGACAUCACUUCC